AAACUCAAAAUCACUAAUUAAAAAUAAAAAUCAUUAUUCCUCUGCAACAACCCAAUUGGCGGUUAAGGUUUAAUGGUAUUAUUCCCUUGUUAUAUAAGAGGGGGUUCACUAUGCAAGCUCCUGUCGUCAACAUGCCUGCUUCACCGGGAAGGGGCAUUUUCGUUAUUUCCUAUUUGUCUAAGUUGUGUCAAUUUCUAGCAAUGCUACGUUGAUUGCAGAUGUAUAUAGCCAGAUUUUAUGGAUGUUUCUCUUAGCGUCCAUGGAUACACAUAUCGCUAAAUUGAUGAUUUAGCUGAUUAUCAUCUUCGUUAUCGUUACCUUUUUCUGCGUUUUGCCGUGGUACUGAGGCGCAGUGUAGGGGUCUAGAUCCUUAGUAGAGUCUACAGACAGGGUUGUCUCAGAGUUUAGUUGAUGUCUGGAGAUAAGAAAAGGGCCUCUACAAUAUAUUCAACCCAGAAUAACAAACGUCCUUGUCUGUUUACUACAUAUGCUGAAAUAAAAUUCAAUCGGUGUAAGAGAUAUAACAAAAUUUCUCCAACUAAAAAAGAUGCAUUAUUAUUGCAAUGACGCACCAGAGAACUCGAUUCAAAGAAGCGUAUUGCACAAGUUAAUGCACCGAAUAAUUCAAUUACAUCAAUAUCUUCUGCAUCUAAUUCAACAUUUCAACAAAACAGACCUCUCAUAAUAAGGGAUGUCUGCGUUAUGACAACACAAGGUUAGAAAAUUAAACUUUUGCUCUUUACACAUCAAAAUGCUUGGAAAUAUGCACCUAUUUGAAUCAGUUUAUAUAUUAGCUACUACAUCUGAAGUUAAUAUAUCACCGGGCACUUAUGCUAAAGGACAAAAGUUUGCUUCAAUCUUUUUGCAUCUUCGAGACAGGCAAGUAUAAUCAUAUUUUCUCCAUUAACAUACUAUUACCAUCACACAUUUACUCAUGUAAUUCAUAAUUGGUCUUAUAUUAGGUUCUACAUCACAUACAUCUAAUGACCAAUGUAGACUUGCUUUGGGAAAUAUAACAAACAAAGGUUUGUAUUUGUGUCGACAUACAACAAUAUUUACUACUAUUCCUUUAACUCUAAAUUGAUUUUUAACUUUUUCUGCACUAUCCAGGACAUAAGAUAAAUAGAGGUCGUCACAUUAAUGUCAAUAGGUUACAAACCGAAUAUGUAGUUUUGAAAGUUGUGCCAAAUUAUAAAUUUUGUGGUGCAAAAAGAUUUCAAUACGAACCACCUACAUUUUGUUGCGAUAAUGGUUCAAUUAAGCUUACAACACAUAAAAUGCCUACUGAACUACGACAUUUAUUCUUAGAUACUUCUGAAAAGUCUCAACAUUUUUGAACAUAUGUUAAAAAAUACAGUAAUAUGUUUGCAUUCACUUCACUUGGAGUAAAAUAUGACAAAGAUUUCGCUCAAAGAUAUCAUGGUAUUUAUACCUUUAGAGUUUAAGGAAAAAUGUACCACUUUAUUGAUGAUUUAUAUCCAGAAACUGGAAAAGGAAAAAUCUUGCAACUAUACUUUUAUGACAAUGAAAAUGAAGUGACAAAUAGAAUUGAUUGUAUUGAUCUGUAUCUUAAAAGUUAAUCUAUAUUCUUUUUUCUUAAAUCUCUAUCUGAUGUUCCAAAACUGUCACACUUUCAUAUUACACUGAAAUGUGAUUCUGAUUUAGAUCAACUUAUAUAUAACUUUCCUACUUCAUCUGAAAUUUCAGCAAUAUGGGUUGAUGGAGAUGUGCAUUCUAUUUCCACACCUCAUUCGAAUUUAUACUCACAAUAAUCAAAGUCAAUUAGUUAAUUAUUAUUAUGGAUGUUAUGAUCCCUUGCAGUGCCCAUUAUUAUUUUCAUAUGGUCAAGAUGGCUGGCAUUGUGGUAUAAAAAAAAUACAACCACUUAAUAGUAUCACACAUUGUACUCCCUGUGAACAUGAACACUUACCAAGUGUUAAAAAUAUGUGUUCAAUAGAUAACUUUCUUGAUAUGGAAGCUCAAAUACUCAAACAACAAAAGAAGAAAAGAAAUACUGUCUCUUGUCAUGAAUAUUAUUGCUACAAAAUUCAAAUGAGAAAUGAUGAAAAUGAUGAACUCUUACUACUGGAAAAGCAUUCCAACAAUAUAUUGUUGACAUGUUUAUAAAACUUGAAACACAAAGACUGGAUUUCUUUUUCUUCAAUCCAGAAUUAUUUCAAAUGAAAGUUUUGCAAGGUCUUCUUGAUGUCUGAAGACAUGGUGAAAGAGAAGCUGCAAAAAUUGGAAAACAGAUAUUCCUUCCUAUUACAUUUACAAGAGGACCAAGAGACAUGUGUCGGCGAUAUCUUGAUACUAUUGCUUUAGUUCAACAUUUUGGAAAACCUGAUUUAUUUUUAACAAUGACAUGUAAUCCAACAAGGCCAGAAAUAAAAGAACAUUUAUUACCUACUGACGAAGCACAAAACAGACCUGAUUUAAUUAGUAGAGUAUUUAGAGCAAAAGUUGAGGAAAUAAAAAUUUAUAUACUAAAGAGAAACGUAUUUGGAAAGGUUGCUGCUUUUAUUUGCAAUAUAGAAUUUCAUAAAUGCGGGCUCCCACAUGCACAUUUUCUUAUAAAUCUUGCUAAUGAAUACAAAUUAUUGACACCUGAGUCCUAUGACAAAUUUAUUCAUGCUGAAUUACCCAAUUCUACUAAAGAGGCUUACUUACAGUUGUUGCACAUCAUAUGAUACACGAUCCUUGUGGCCACUUAAAUCCUACAAAUUCAUGUAUGAAAAAUGGAUAUUGUAAAUUUCACUAUCCUAGAGAUUUUACUGAGUGAACAUCAAAAGGAAAAAACUCAUAUCCAACUUAUAAAAGGCGGCAACUAGGACAUACUGUAAAGGUUAGAGAAUAAUUUCUCGAUAAUUCUUGGGUAGCACCAUACAAUUCAUUUUUACUUGGUAAAUUUAAUUGUCGAAUGUAGAAAUAUGCUCUGACAUCAAAGUUGUAAAGUAUCUUUACAAAUAUAUUUGCAAAGGACAUGAUAAAAUUGCUUUUUAAAUGCAUGAUCAUGAUAAAGAAAUAGAAAUUGAUGAAAUAAAAGAGUAUCAAUCUGCUCGGUGGGUAUCUCUGCCUGAAGCUACAUGACGCUUAUUUAGUUUUCCUAUUAGUGAGAUGACACCAAGUGUUUACCAUCUUCAAUUACAUCUUGAUGACCAACAAUGUGUUUCUUUUAAAAGUGCUCAAAGUAUAAAUUCAAUUAUAAGAAAUCUAAUGAUUAGAAAAACAUGCUAACCGAAUUCUUUGUAAUGAUCCAAACAAAUAAAGAUGUUAAAAAACUUAAACUAUUAUACAAAAUAUUCCUUGAAUAUUUUGUAUGGUCAAACACAUAUAAAAUGUGGACACAUCAAAAACAACGUUCAGUUACCAGACGUAUUGUGACAUAUCAUCCAACAGAAAGAGAAAGAUAUUAUCUUAAAUUAUUAUUAAUGGAUGUAUGAGCGCCAGAGUCAUAUAGAGAUCUUCAUAAAGUCGACAAAAAUAUUGUUCUACUUUUAGAGAAUCAACAGAAAAAAAGGAUUACUACAUUCUGAAAACAGUUUGAUUAACUGUAUGACUGAAGCUAUGAGUUACCAAUUACCAUAUAGUUUGAGAUGAUUAUUCGCUACGUUAUCAGUGUAUUGUAAUCCUACUAAUCCUAAAGAAUUAUGGGAACAAUUUGAAGAAUUUAUGUCAGAAGAUUUUAAAAACUUGAGAAAUAUUAAACUUAAAGAUAUUUGUCGUCGAGUUUUGGACCAUAUUAAUGAUGAAUUACACUCGAUGGGACAUGAUAUUAAUGAGUACAAGCUUGUUCUAGAAAAUAUUAAAGCUCCGCGAUUGCCAAAGAAGCAAAAUAUGUUCAGUUUGAGAGAAAUAUAAAAGUUUGCGAAGAGGAUAUGUUAUUAGAAAAAAACUUAAUAUUGAACAAAGAAGAGCUUAUACCAUAAUAAUUGAUAGAGUUUUUUCAAAUAGAGCAGGAGAUUUUUUUGUUGAUGGACCUGGAGGAACUGGUAAGAGUUUCUUAUAUCGAAGUCUAUUAGCAACGAUAAGAUCAAAAGGAUUUGUUGCAUUAGCAACUGCAAGUUCUGGUGCCGCAUCCUCUAUUCUUCUUGGAGGACGAACUGCUUAUUCAUGGUUUAAAAUACCUAUUGAUGUUUAUAAGAAUAUUGGGUGCAAUGUCAGCAAACAAAGUUCACUUGCUUCUUUAAUUCAAGAUGCAAAAUUAAUUGUAUGGGAUGAAGCAUCAAUGGCUAAAGGAAAAACUAUUGAAGCUUUUGAUUUACUUUUAAAAGAUCUCAUAGAUACGAGUAUGCUCUUUGGUGAAAAAGUUGUUGUUUUAGGUGGUGAUUUUAGACAAACUCUUUCUGUUGUGUGAAAUGGAAAAAAAGAAGACUUCAUUUCACAAAUCUUAUUAUACUCAUAAAUUUGAAACCAACUAGAAAAAUUGUACCUAUCAAAGAAUAUGCGUGCAAGAAUUGAUCCAACUUUUUCUGAGUAUCUAAUAAGGAUUGACAAUGGAAAAGAAAAACAUAACUCCAACGACAAAGUUGAAAUUCCCAAAUCUUUGCUCAUUCCUUUUACCACCGAAGAACAAUCUCUAGAUGAUUUAUUAAAGGUAACAUAUCCUAACAUAAAUUCGUUAUUUCAUAACUCUUCUGCUUUAGCUUCUCGUGUUAUUUUAACAACAAAAAAUGAUUAUAUUCAUGAAAUAAAUGAGAUGCUUAUAUCAAAAUUUCUAAAUAGUGCGAAAAUAUUUGUUACGAUUGAUGAAACUAUUGGACCAAAUGAUCAAAGUGAACUUGAAGAUUAUCUACAUACUAUAAAUCCUGCUAAUUUUCCACCUUAUAGAUUGACUUUAAAAGAAAAUUACCCAGUGAUGUUACUACAAAACUUAAAUCCUUCUGAAGUUUUAUGUAAUGGUACGUGAUUAACGUGCUGUAAUUUUAAAACAAAUGUUAUGAGUACUAAAAUUGCUAGCGGUGAUUUUCAAAACAAACAUGUCUUUAUUCCUUGCAUACCACUAUCAGCUUCAGCAUAUGAGAAUUUGUCGGUUUCUUUUAAGAGAACACAAUUUUCAAUACGAUUAUGUUUUACUAUGACUAUAAAUAAAGCUCAAGGUCAAACUUUAGAUUAUGUUGAAAUUUAUUUGCGUGAGCCUGUUUUUCCCACAGUCAGCUUUAUGUGGCUGUCUAGAGCUAAAACUUCUAAAGGUGUGAAGUUGUUGGUUAGGGCAAUGACAACAGAUCGAAAAGACGAUCACUCAACAUACAACGUUGUAGUGAUAAAAUUAUCAAAAAGGCAUUCAGUUAACUAACGACCUGAAUAGACUACAACAGCAUUCACAGAAACAUAUGACAUUUAUAUGAGAAAGUUGCAGAUAACAUCCCUUCACCUGAUAUAGUGGCUAAACUACUUUGAGCAGCAAAACUUAAGAAUGUUAGAAUUUAUUAUGCAAAGCCUAGUGUCCUUAAUGCGUUUAAAGGGAUAAGAUUUGAGCUGGUUGUUGGACUUCUGAAUGGAUUUGUAAAACAAAUGAGUGCUAAUUAGAUCAUGCUCUAAAUUGGGUAAAAAAUAAUGUGAAAACUUUCCUUCCUGAUACCAUAUGAAGUUUUAGGAGGUAGAGACGGUGAACAAAAAAGCUUGGGCUAGGUGACAUUGUUCAGAUAUCGACUACUCACUCGCAGGUGACGUUGAAAAUAGAACUCAUCUUCAUUAUGAUAACUUGCUCGAUACUCAUAUUGAUGCAGCAUAUGCAGCUCUAGAAGAUGCUGGUUUCAGAAAAAUAAAAGUCGUAGUUACUGAAACAGGUUGGACUUCUGAUGGGGAAGAUAAUAAACCUGCUGCCACACCAAAUAAUGAUGUUGCUGUCAUGGUUCAAAUUUUCCUAAUAGAGAUGCAACAACGAAGGAUUGCAGUUACGCCUUGUUUCUUUCAUAGUUUCUCAAUAUUAUUUUUAUCAAGUGGCUUAUUUCCUCUACCACAUGAUAGAGACUACUCCAGAAGCAGUUGACCGUUGUCCUGCUAGCUUGUCAAUUAAGGGCCAUUUUGCUUCUCUCAAAUAAAACAAAUUAGUACAUAUUACAUCAUUAUCGCAUCGCUAAAAUAUGUAACGUUUGCCCUCAGUUUUAGAAUAAAAAGAAGAAAGUCAGUUGCACAUUUUGCUUA